UGCAGUCGAGCGGUAAGGCCUUUCGGGGUACACGAGCGGCGAACGGGUGAGUAACACGUGGGUGAUCUGCCCUGCACUCUGGGAUAAGCUUGGGAAACUGGGUCUAAUACCGGAUAUGACCACAGCAUGCAUGUGUUGUGGUGGAAAGAUUUAUCGGUGCAGGAUGGGCCCGCGGCCUAUCAGCUUGUUGGUGGGGUAAUGGCCUACCAAGGCGACGACGGGUAGCCGACCUGAGAGGGUGACCGGCCACACUGGGACUGAGACACGGCCCAGACUCCUACGGGAGGCAGCAGUGGGGAAUAUUGCACAAUGGGCGGAAGCCUGAUGCAGCGACGCCGCGUGAGGGAUGAAGGCCUUCGGGUUGUAAACCUCUUUCAGCAGGGACGAAGCGUGAGUGACGGUACCUGCAGAAGAAGCACCGGCUAACUACGUGCCAGCAGCCGCGGUAAUACGUAGGGUGCGAGCGUUGUCCGGAAUUACUGGGCGUAAAGAGUUCGUAGGCGGUUUGUCGCGUCGUUUGUGAAAACCCGGGGCUCAACUUCGGGCUUGCAGGCGAUACGGGCAGACUUGAGUGUUUCANGGGAGACUGGAAUUCCUGGUGUAGCGGUGAAAUGCGCAGAUAUCANGAGGAACACCGGUGGCGAAGGCGGGUCUCUGGGAAACACUGACGCUGAGGAACGAAAGCGUGGGUAGCAAACAGGAUUAGAUACCCUGGUAGUCCACGCCGUA
rnacentral:rRNA from 1 species